AAAGGUAUACAACCCGUUCAGA
rnacentral:snRNA from 1 species